rnacentral:lncRNA from 1 species
UUCAGGUUAAAGUUUUUGGUCAAGGUAGUUUUUGAUGAAGUUGAAGUCCAAUCAACUUGAAACUAGUACACAUGUUCCUUAUGAUAUGAUCUUUCUAAUUUUAAAGCCAAAUUAAACUUUUGACCCCAAUUUCACGGUCCACUGAACAUAGAAAAUCAAAGUGCAUGUUUCAGGUUAAAGUUUUUAGUCAAGGUAGUUUUUGAUGAAGUUGAAGUCCAAUCAACUUGAAACUUAGUACACAUGUUCCCUAUGAUAUUAUCUUUCUAAUUUUAAUGCCUAAUUAUCUUUUUUAUCCAAUUUCACAGUCCAUUGAACAUGGAAAAUGAUAGUGCGAGUGGGGCAUCUGUGUACUUUGGACACAUUCUUGUUUAUU